ACCCCCCUCUGGCGGCAUGCUUAACACAUGCAAGUCGAACGAGACCUUCGGGUCUAGUGGCGCACGUGUGCGUAACGCGUGGGAACCUGCCCUUAGGUUCGGAAUAACUGACCGUAAGGGGAGCUAAUACAGGAUAAUGUCAUCGCACCAAAGAUUUAUCGCCUUUGGAUGGGCCCGCGUUGGAUUAGCUAGUUGGUAGGGUAAAAGCCUACCAAGGCGACGAUCCAUAGCUGGUCUGAGAGGAUGAUCAGCCACACUGGGACUGAGACACGGCCCAGCCUCCUACGGGAGGCAGCAGUGGGGAAUAUUAGACAAUGAGCGAAAGCCUGAUCCAGCAAUGCCGCGUGUGUGAUGAAGGCCUUAGUGUUGUAAAUCUCUUUUACCCGGGAUGAGAAUGACAGUACCGGGAGAAUAAGCUCCGGCUAACUCCGUG
rnacentral:rRNA from 1 species